rnacentral:hammerhead_ribozyme from 1 species
GCACUGCUGAGGAGUCCCAUACCAGGACUAGACGGCCGUCCAGUGC